rnacentral:rRNA from 1 species
GACGAACGCUGGCGGCGCGCCUAACACAUGCAAGUCGAACGGAGUCAAGAGGAGCUUGCUUUUCUUGACUUAGUGGCGAACGGGUGAGUAACGCGUGAGUAACCUGCCCUGGAUUGGGGGACAAUAGUUGGAAACGACUGCUAAUACCGCAUAAGCUCACGGAUCCGCAUGGAUCUGCGGGAAAAGGAUUUAUUCGCUUCAGGAUGGACUCGCGUCCAAUUAGCUAGUUGGUGAGGUAACGGCCCACCAAGGCGACGAUUGGUAGCCGGACUGAGAGGUUGAACGGCCACAAUGGGACUGAGACACGGCCCAGACUCCUACGGAAGGCAGCAGUGGGGGAUAUUGCACAAUGGGGGAAACCCUGAUGCAGCGACGCCGCGUGGAGGAAGAAGGUUUUCGGAUUGUAAACUCCUGUCGUAAGAGACGAUAAUGACGGUACCUAACAAGAAAGCACCGGCUAACUACGUG